UGCAUUCAUAUGAGGGUAGGACCUGAUGAAUGACCUGCAGAGAGCUGGGACCAAAGUAACAAAGGCUACAGACUAUGCAGAGAGGGGCUCAAAUCCUGCUAUGCCAGGUGUGUGUCCCCCUGCUUGAGCCAGUACAUGUUCAGGCCCAUCUGAAGUUUGCCAGAGAGCAUAUGGAUGAUCCAGAAGAGGAUUGGGAGAAUAUCUGUGGUGAGAUGAAACCAAAUAGAACAUUUUUGGUAAAAACUCAACUCGUCGUGUUUGGAGGACGAAGAAUGCUGAGUUGCAUU